rnacentral:pre_miRNA from 1 species
AACAUAAUUGCUGAAUCAUAUAGUAAAUCUGGAGUGUUUAACAUUUUGAGAAACUGCCAAACUGUUUUCUAAAGCAGAUGCAUCAUUUAUAUUUCCAUCAGCAAU